rnacentral:rRNA from 1 species
CCUACGGGUGGCAGCAGUGGGGAAUAUUGCUCAAUGGGGGCAACCCUGAUGCAGCGACGCCGCGUGAAGGAAGAAGUCUUUCGGUGUGUAAACUUCUAUCAGCAGGGAAGAAAAUGCCGGUACGUGACUCAGACGGCCCGGCUCACUACGGGCCAGCAUCCGCGGUAAUACGGAGGGGGCAAGCGUUAUCCGGAUUUACUGGGUGUAAAGGGGGCGUAGGCGGUUUAGCAAGUCAGAAGUGAAAGCCCGGGGCUCAACUCCGGGACUGCUUUUGAAACUGUUGGACUUGAGUGCAGGAGAGGUAGGUGGAAUUCCUGGUGUAGCGGUGAAAUGCGUAGAUAUUAGGAGGAACACCAGUGGCGAAGGCGGCUUACUGGACUGUAAAUGACGCUGAGGCACGAAAGCGUGGGGAGCAAACAGGAUUAGAUACCCCUGUAGUC